GGUACCUAGCUGGCCACAUAUUUGAAAAUUACGAGGGUAAACCUUGCUGACUGCCAUCGUUUUCCACAGAGCUAUCUCUGUACAACUAUAAAAUAACACCCGAACGCUAUCUGGCCGCUCACCUGCCCUCCCCUGUAGCCACUGGUUAGGUUUAUAAGCAACAGUGGGGCCCUAAAUAAACCCAAAGUGCACACGAGCAGUCUCCUAGUCAGUUUCUGACUUUGGCCCUAAAUGGAUUAAAAUACAUCUGAUACACUUUAAAAUCAAAGAACCACGUUCAUUUCUGCCACACACCACACAAAGCCUUUCUGCAGCCCUCAGUCCCUUUGAACCCAACUCUAGCCACAAGCAGUGUGGAUUCCAAGGGCCUGUUCUGAAUGACAACAAACCAAAGCUGGGACCAUAGGGGCAGCUAGCCAGACCCCUUGAACAGGGCCUGGAAGGCAAGCGAGCCUGCAGCCAGUUAGAGCUGCGUCUGAACGGCCACCCGUGCCCUGGCCAUGUCAGUCCUGCCAGAGGCCGGAAUGCAAACUGUCAGAAGCAGCUUUCGGUUUUUCCAGGCAGAAGUCCUGUGCAGCAACAGCAGCAGCAGCAGGGUGGUCAAGCUCAGUGAAUGAUGCAGAGAAGGGGGACAGUGGGUAGAUGGGAAAGAAGGGAGGGUCGGGAGCAGCUACGGGGCACAAGACCUGACAGUCCAGCCUCGUGACUAAGGAUGAGGGUCUUUUGGAGAUGUACAAAUAAGGAACUCUUGGGCAAGGUCUGAAGGUGCGUCUGCGGGGGAGACCCCAUGUUCCCAAAGCUGCAAAAUGUUUGCGAAUCCUAAACAACUACUUUGCCAGCUGAGAUUAAAAGGGGGAGCCCCAAAAUAUGUGCAGACAGGAUGUAACAAGUGUUUCCAGAGAUAUACACCUGAGUCAUAGGAGCCGAAAGGAAAGUGAGGAGUCUGACUGGGGGGCUACUGCUGAGACCUCUGUUGGUGGAGAAAGGCCGGGUAGUGUGGUGUGCCCAGACCCCACUCGUUCCGCCGCGGAGCUAGCAGAGUUUCAUGUUACUGUGGUCAACUUCAGCCUGAAAAUACUGAAAAGAAAAUUCCAGAUGUCACGAUGACGAGAGCAAGACUCACAACAGGAAAUAUCAGUUUGGACCUUACACUUUGUCCUGUCCCUCCUGGGAACUCUGUCUGCCAGACUCUGAAGCCAAAGGUGUAGAAAUUCAUUUACAGACAUGAGGGAACACCCACCUUCUCUAAACCCUGUGUGAAAAUGGAACCAGAAGAUGAGCAAUACUUAGUUUUCAUUCGGCUUACUCAGAAUUCACUCAACACAAGCUGUGGGUGCUCUCAUUUUCCUGGACCAUAGUGAUCUGUGUGACCAGCUAGCUAAUGCAAGCUCACACGUAACCAAUAGUCAACGGUCAAGUCUCAUAAUGGUGGUAAGGAAAGGGGUGGCUGAGAACAGAGGUAGGGGAUAUAGCCACAUUUUUGAUAGCUGCCUUGUAUCCGAUUACAAUAAACUCUUACCAGUUUGACUUUUCCCCUUACUUGACAGCUUGGGAAAAGAAGAGGCCUGCAGGGAAUUAGGAUACAUUGGUCUAUAGCAUCUUCUUUGUGGCUAUAGAGAAAUGUACUGGAGCAGUGCCUGAGGCCAGGUUCCGUUUCUUCUGACUGUGACAACAGUCACUGUGUCUGGAGUUCAGUCAUGGGAGCACACAGGAGAAAGGGUCCUGGAGAAGCUCAGACAUGGUUCUGCAGUCAGUUACUGAGGGAGAGUGAAAAUGAGGUCAACUCCCUGAUGGCAAGGCCCGAGAGAGGCGGCGAAAUACCACAGAACCCCCAUUCUUGGUAGCCUCAAGGACAACACUUCUAAAAAUAGACCAACAGUACCACUCAGAUCUGCUGGAGAUUUCACAACUGCUGGCCUAGCGCAAACUGUUUGGCCAAGUCAAGAUGCAGCCAGGAAGCUGAGUGUCGCCAAGGUCAGCAGUCUCAGAAUAAUAGCAUCCCUCAGUCCAUGGCCUUGACCACAGAAACAUGGAGACUCACAGCCCCAGGUCCUUGUUUUACUUGUUCUGCAACCCACAGAGAACUCUCCUAGCCAAGACUUCAUUUCAGGGACAUGGGAGACGGCACCAGUGAAGUGUUGCCUCGAGGACUAGAAAAUGAAUGAGCAAUGUCCGUGAUUCCAGUAUAAGGGGGAACGCUACAAGCAUGGUGUGGGGGUGGGAUUGGACAAGAAAACACUUUAGAGACAAUAAUGACAAACACAUGGGAGGGAGAAAGCGCGUGGCCUCUGCUAGAACUGUGUAACAGCAAAAGAGACAAAAAGGAUCUGGCGUUCCUUACGUCUGAGGCUUUAAAACCCAUUUCAAAGCUGACAGUUCUACAGUGGUGACAAAUGUCUGUUGUUAUGAUUGAUAGGAAGAGCCCAGAACUUCCCUCAAGCUUUUGGUGUGUGCUGUGAGUUCAUCCUAUGGGGCAGAAGCUAAGAUCACCCCACCCCUUUUUGGAAGAUAAGGAACAUGAUUUGGACCCUGGAAGCUGGAGCAGAACUUACCAAUCACCUACCUAGAGGCUCCUCGCUGCCUGACUUGUCGCCGUGGUUAACUAGCCAUGUCAGCUAGAUUAGACUGAGAGACAGCGAGCUUCUGGAUGAGAUGGAAUCAGCUAAGGCCGUCUUACUUUCUCCUCAGCAUCUCUUCAAAACCGCUCUGUCUUCCUGGUCCCUGGCAGCCUUGGUGCUCUUAGGCGAUCUGUAACUACUUCCAUCACUCUUGGGCAUUAAAUACUAGUCUCAUCCUUUGGGUAAUAAAGCGCACUUGGGUGUGUCUGUGAGGACCUCUCCAAAGCCCGCCGGCAUUAAGAACAGUAACUGAAGAACUUCUCCAUAUGUGGGUGGCACCGUCCAAUGGGCUGGGAGCCCAGAUGGAACAGAAUCAGGAGAAGCAAGAAACCCACCAGCAAGCUUGCUUUCUGCCCAUCUGCUUCCUGGCCGGCAUAAGGGGACCAGCUUUAUUUCGCCACAGCCCCCUGCCACUGUGAUGUUCUCCUUCCCCAGAGGCCUCUGCUGCCGUGGGCCAAAACAAACCUUCCCUCCUUUGAAGCUGUUUCUCAGCUAUUGUGUCCCAGUGACGGGAAAGGACGAACGUAUGUGUCCACCAAGAUUUAUCCAAGAAUCCUCAACAACUAGAUUCUGGAACCUGUUGUAGACACCCCAAGCCUUGUAUUUUGUGUUUUCAAUGCUCCCCACAGAUAACUGUCAGGUACAGCUUGCUUUGGAAUCCAUUCAACCAAUCUAAUUCUCUCUUCAUCUUCCAGACCGGAAUACUGAAGCCUAAAAUGUUCAAGUGGCAUGCUCAAGGUAGCAGGCUAGUAGCCGCAGAGGCAGGACGGGUGCCUGUGGCUCAGAGUAUGGCCUCAGUCUCUUCUCCUGAGUCACCAGACUUGAUAACACCUUUACCAGCUCUUACCUGGAUCGUCACUUCAGAUCAGUGAGAUGACAUCAAGAUUGACUGAACAUGCUCUACGACUUACGCACGGCUUAGUGCUAGGAACUCCACAGGGAACAAGGCUAACCUGUUUUCUUACUCUUACAGAAAGAAGAAUGUUCUGGAAAAAUGUUACCAAGCUUCUGAAUAAGCUGGAAUCAACUAAGGCAAUCAUAUUUUCUCAUCUGUAUCUCUGCCAAGCUGCUGUCUUCUGAACCCUGGGCAUCUUAGUGAUCAUAGAUGCCUCUGUAACUACCUUCAUCAUGCUCAGGCAUCUAGUAACAGGCUCAUUCUGUAGAUAAUUCACAUCUCAUCCAGUGACACGUCAAAGCUGAGUGCUGUCUCUCGUUCCCGUGUGUGUGUGUGUGUGUGUGUGUGUGUGUGUGUGUGUGUGUGUGUGUUGAACUAAGGAUGAAAUUCAAGAUCUUGCACAUGCUAGACAAGUGUUCAAAACUAAGUCACAUUCCCAGUCUUUGGUUGUUUGCCUGUUUUGUCUCUCUGUGUAUUCCAGACAAACCUAAAACUCAUGGUCCUGCAUCCAUUUCCUGAGGGUUGGGGGUUACAGGUGUGCGCCACCAUUGCCAAAUAAAUCUACAAUCUUUUCAUCCAGUGAAAAAGUCCUCUUCCUCCUUCAGGAUCAGGAAAUAGUGGAAACAGUGGAGAGGGUGUUGUGUGGACUUCUCAGUUUCUCCCUCUUCCACCACUCACUUGUUUAUUUAGGCUUCUGUAAGGCCAAGACCACGGACCCAAAGAGCAGGGAGAGAGAAUGUGAGCGCGGACCUUACAGAACCAAGAGCAUCUGUGCUGGCUGAAAUCCUCCGUCAUGCCAGCGAUCUACAUGCUGCCUUCCUCCCAAGAGACAGACCAGCAGAAGCCCAUCCUCCCGAGGGGUGUUUACUUGGAUGAGGAUUAAGCAUUCUUAGGAAAAGCUCCCAAGUGGAGACAGGGGAGGUUUAUUUCAUGGCAGAUCUUUGUCUCCUGCACCACUUAAUGUUUUGUUUUGUUUCUGUUGAACAAUUAAGACUGAGGCUGGGGAGAUGGCUUAGUCAGUAGAACACCGGUUGUACGUGCAUGAGGACAAUUCAGAUUCCCGGCCCUCGCAGAAAAGCCAAACACUGUAGCAUGCGUCUGCAGCCCCAGUGCUAGGGUAAUCAGAGACAGGUAGAUCCCUGAAGCUCAUUGGCCAGCCAACCUAGCCAAUCAGUUAACUCCAGUUCAGUAAGAGAUACUGGGGGAGUAAGCCAGGAGUGGUGGUGCACACUUUUAACACCAGCAUUCGGAGGCAGAGGCAGGAAGAUCUGUGAGUUCAAGGCCAGCCUGAGCUACAUAGAGAGACUCUUGUCUCAAGAAAAGAAAAGGGGAGCAGGUAGAAAUGGUAGAGAAAGAAAUCAAUUUUCACUUCUGGCCUCUAUGUGCAGGUGUCAUAGAUGAGCAGUCUGUAGGUAUAGUGGUAUUUGCUCCGCCCAUGACCUUGGGCUAUAGGGCCCAGAGGAGGCGGUGCCUGCUGUGACCUCUUAUAAGGGAAGGGAGAAGGGUCACAUGCCCCUUCUCCCUGCUCCUGCCUGAGAGGUGGAUUCGCUCCCCAUCAGAUCAGAGGAUAACUUCAGCUGUCUAUUCCAUUCUAUAUUUGUGAGUGUAUUUCCUCAGUUUAUAUCUUAAUAAAUUCUGUUACCCUUUUAAUAGACUCACAUGGAUUGAUUGUAAUAUGCUGGCUUGACUGACAGGUGUCAGAACCUUCCCCAUACCUAGCCAAAGCUGCCUCUUCCCAGGAACUUGACUAGGUGACUAAUUGUGUUUAGCAGAAGGCCAGAUUGUAUUAGAACAGCUCCUUGAUCCCCGAGUGGAGCAGGGCUGUAAACAGUUCCAGAAGUUCCCUCCCAGUGGCCACACCCUCAUCUUAGGAGUUGUUUUUCUCAUCAUUAGGACUAAACAAGACAACUUGAGGGGUGGAAGGGUUAUUUUGGCUCACAGUUAAGGGUCCAGUCCAUCAUGGUUGGGAAGGCGUGGCGGCAGGGACACGAGGUGGCUGGUCACACUGCAGCCACAGUCAAGGAACAGAGAGCAAUGAAUGCUGGUGUUCAACUCUUUGUUUUGAUUCAGUCCAGGAUUGGAAUAGCACUGUCUGAAUUUAGGGUGAGUCUUCACACCUCAAAAGACUCAAUCUAGAAACUCUCUCACAGACAUGCCCAGAAGUUUGUCUUGUAGAUUCCAUCAAGUUGACAGCCAAUAUUACCCAUCACACCAUCAACCCAGCCAUUUCUUAGGAGUCCUGGGAGUUGGAUACCAAAGCAGCCACGUCCUCAGCUUGUUUCUCAGCACUUCCUCAAGCUGCCGUAUAGACCAUCGUGGCUGUUUGGGAAACCUCACAGUUGCUCAGAGAGACUGAUCCAGCUGCCAACACUUGGAAGAGACUUCAGAAUGCUGAAGAUACCCUAGAGACUCCUGUCCCCUCACGAGAACCAUCACACCUGUUGUGGCCAAUGCUCCUGACAGUGACUGUUUCUGGAGACUUUGCUUUGGCCAUGGAAGCUUCUGGUGACCCUUAAAUGAUCCUAUUUACAGGCUUACAGCUACUCUAGAUACACACACACACACACACACACACACCUGCUGUACCCUCCUCAAAGCUGUCCUCAAUGUGGUCAGGAAAGAACACCUCCCCUGCCCACGACAGCUAGGAUAGAUGUAUGACUGACUACGCAAAUAACAUUCAUCUUACCUCCUCAGAACAGACUAGAAGACUUCCUUCCUACACACUACCCUGCCCAUAGUGCUGCAGCCUAGACCCUAAUAAAUCCUCACCUAAGUGAUUCCUGUCUACAUGUGGUACACGGGUAACAUGAAGAACAGACAACUCACUGGGCUGCCACUAGAAACACCCAGAUAGCUAAGGAGAUCUGUAGAAUAGUUUGCAGCCAAGACUGAGGAAAGAAGAAAGCAUGAAAAACCGAGGAGACCCAAAACACUGAGUGACUGAGAAGGCAAGAGACAACUCAGCGUUGGCACCACAGGAGAUGGGGGCCAACAUUGGGAGAGCCCAGAGUCUGCCACAGGAAGUUUUAAAAAGUCACCAAGAGUCACUAGCUCUGACCACUGGGGAUCCAAGCAAGUAGAGAAUCUCGGGGCUGAGGCAUGAGGCACUUGAACCCUGGAGUUAUAACACUAAGAUCAGAGGGUCCCAACCCCCUAUGCUUGGAGUUGAUGUCAUUAAAAAUUUUGUCCUGUGCCUCUCUGUGAUUUUUCCAUUCAAAUAGAGAAAAACUGCCCUCAGCUGAUUAAUAACACCAUGAGGGCUUCCUCUCCAGUCUUCUCAUAUUAAUGGAAUAAUUAAUAACAAUUAAUGGGGAAGACUCCUAUAACUCCCUGAUAUAAGCUGUUCCUUCUCCAGCUGACAUCUGAACCCAUUGUUUCUAAUAGUCUUUCCUGUUCAUUCUUUGUUGGGGUCAUUGUGGUGGUUUGAAUAAGAAUGACCCUCAUAGGCUCAUGUCUUUGAAUGCUUAGUCACUAGGGAGUGGAAUUCUUUCAAAGGGUUAGAAGGAUUAGGAGGUGUGGCCAAGUUGGAGGAAGUGUGUCACUAGGGGUGGGCUUUGAGGUGUCAAAAACCCAUGCUAGGUGCUUGUGUUCUCUCUCUCUCUCUCUGUCUCUCUCUCCCCUUCGGCCUACAGAUCAGGAUCUGCCAUGAUGAUCACGGGCUAACCUCUGAAACUGUAAGCAAGCUCCAAUUAAAUGCUUUGUUUCCUAAGAGUUGCCUUGAUCACAGUGUCUCUCCACAGCAGUGGAACAGUGACUAGGACAGUCUUCUUGUCCCUUUGUGAAGGUUCCUUCUCUGAUAAAACUUGCUGAGGCUCUUCUGGGUCCUUUUCUCAAUUGGGCCUCAACCUUGUGGCUAUGGUUGAAUGUGGCCACCUCCAAAAUUAGAUGGUAAGAUCUAGGAUGAGGUCUGUGCCUGCAUAUACGGAAUAGGUCCUUAGGAGAGAGUAAAUCCAGCCCUCCCUGCCCGUUUGCUCUUCCACCUUCUACCAUGUGCUGACGAAGCAGCCUCCCCCAGGACAAUGCAGCAUUCAAAGCGCCAUCUUGGAAUCAGAAUCAUAAAACCUGCUGGCACCUUCAUCUAAGGCUUCCAGGCCUCUAGAAUAGCAAGCCAAACGAUUUCUGUUUAUUAUAAAUUAUCCAUUCUGGCACUCAGGAGGCAAAGGCAGGCAGAUCUCUGUGAGUUCAAGGCCAGCCCGGUCUACAGAGUGAGUUCCAGAAGAGCCAGGGCUACCCAAAGAAACCUUGUCUCAAAUAAACAAACAAUAAUAAAUGUAAAUAAACUGUCCCUUCUGCAGUAUUCUGUUGCAGUACAAGACAGACUAUGAUACCAGUCUCAGGCAUAGCAGCACAAUGCAGACUGACAACCUUGGCCCAUAAUAUCUACAAGCUCUCACUACAAAGAGUUCCAAUUACCCCCUUCACAUUACUCAUAGUAAGGGGCUCAGUCAAACACCAGCAUGGUUUCCAGCAGCUCAGGGCUGAAUCCCUAGCAGGCUUAUCAUCUCUUAUCAGGUCUGCCAAAGAAAGAUGGCGGCCGCAGGAGAUUUUAGUUUCUCUCGUUUACACGUUCCAGAAUGCCAUCUGCACCAGUUCCAAAGUCCCUUCAAUUCCAGGGACUCUCAAGGCCUGGCUUGUCUAGGUUGGAAGAAGUGAUGAGUGACAUGAGCCUCCCCAUGAGGAAGAAAAGGCAAACUUACCUAACUCUGGCCCUUUCUCUCAAUAGAACUACUUACUCCCUGACCUUUCCCAAUCAAUCUCGCAGCUUCCCAUAGACAAUAAACUAAGAAUUUUUAAAUUAAAAACCUGUGGUGAUGUUUUGUUUGUGAUCUAACAAAUAAACCUUGCCUGAAGAUCAGAGAGUGGAGCUAGCCAUCAGUUAACCAGAGAGGUCUGGAGGUCUGUGUAGACAGGAACAGGAAGUGAUAUGGCUGGGCAGAGACAGGAGCUUGGCCCCCUUUUGGUCUGAGGAGUCAUGGAGAUAAGAGGUGGC